AGAAGAAGAAGAAGUCGGCGAGCUGCUGGCUGCCCUGGUGGUGUGUGUUCCUGGGCUGGUUCCUGUUGCUGUCCAUCAGUGGAGUAUCCACUUUCUUCACCCUGUUGUACGGCUUGGAUUAUGGCAGGGAAAAGUCAGUCAAGUGGGUCAUGUCUCUGGGCCUCUCUCUCUUCCAGAGCAUCUUUAUUCUGCAGCCUCUCAAAGUGAUCGGCAUUGCUGUGUUUUUUGCCCUGAUGCUAAAACCUGUAGCCGUGGAGGAGACUGAGGAAAUUGAGCAGGUGAUGUUAGAGCAACAAGACAAGUGUAGACGAUACUCUGGCAGGGACACACUGUGAGGAGGCUGCAUUUAGCGGGAUAAGCUGUCUUCUCCAACGGGCCCAGCUGUGAUCCACGUCACCCACGCUUCGUAAACACUCUUUUGCACUUAUCGGAAGUUUUAACAUUUUGAAUAUAAAAUUCACUCUGGUGUUUUAUAUGUGCACAGCCCGAGAAAGUUUUCUGAAAUGGUGAGUCAGAGUAAAUGGGUAAUUAAAUAACUCUUGCUUGUCAAAGUGUUGCUUUUUCCAGCUCAUUUAUUAUUCCUGACCAUGGAUGGAUUACUGAACGGGUAUACAGGUCCAGGGGCCCAAACUGUCAGGGCCCGAUCUGGCCUUAACCUCAGAGACACAUAUCGACCAGGUAGAGACUCAAAGAGACCACAAAGAGACUCAAAAUGAUCAGAAAGGGACUCAAAAUGGCCACAAAGACACACAAAACGAUGACAGAGAUGCAAAAUGACUACACAGAGGCUCAAAAUAACUACAGAGAGACACAAAAUGACCACAAAGAGACACAAAAUGGCUACAAAGAGACUCAAAGUGACUACAAAGAGACACAGAAAUGGCCACAAAGAGACUCAAAAUGAUGACAGAGACAUAAAAUGACUACAGAGAGACAAAAUGGCCACAAAGAGACACACAAUGAUGACAGAGACAUAAAAUGACUACAAAGAGACACAAAAUGGCUACAAAGAGAGUCAAAAUGACAACAAAGAGACACAAAAUAGCUACAAAGAGACUCAAAAUGACUACAAAGAGACACAAAAUGGCUACAAAGAGAGUCAAAAUGACAACAAAGAGACACAAAAUGGCCACAAAGAAACUCAAAAUGAUGACAGAGAGACUCAAAAUGACAGAGAGACUCAAAAUGAUGACAGAGGGAUACAAAAUGACUACAAAGAGAUUCAAAAUGAUGACAAAGAGACUCAAAAUGACUACAGAGAGACACAAAAUGACAGAGAGACUCAAAAUGAUGACAGAGACACAAAAUGACUACAAAGAGACUCAAAAUGACUACAGAGAGACUCAAAAUAACUACAGAGAGACUCAAAAUGGCCACAAAGAGACACAAAACGAUGACAGAGAUGCAAAAUGACUACACAGAGACUCAAAAUGACCACAAAGAGACUCAAAAUGACCACAAAGGGACUCAAAAUGGCCACAAAGACACACAAAGCGAUGACAGAGAUGCAAAUGACUACAUAGAGGCUCAAAUUGACUACAGAGAGACUCAAAAUGACCACAAAGAGACAAAAUGGCCACAAAGAGACUCAAAAUGAUGACAGAGAGACUCAAAAUGAUGACAGAGACACAAAAUGACUACAAAGAGACUCAAAAUGGCCACAAAGAGACACACAAUGAUAACAGAGAUGCAAAGCAACUAUAAAGAGACUCAAAAAGACAGCAAAAAGACACACAAUAAAUACAGAGAGAAGUAAAACCACGGAAAGAUCAGAGAGGAAGAGUAAGAGGCUGAACUAUAAAGUCUGUGUCUUGCUCCUCCCAUGAAGGAGAGGGAGUGGGGCCUUCCACAUGCCUGGCCCCAGGGGCCCGCUGUUUCAUAAUCCACCCAUGUCCAUGAUGCUGAAUAUUUUUGUAAAGAAAAUCUCUGGUUGCUUAUUUUAAACAGCAUUUGUUCAUCUGUGGAUACAUGUUCAUUUUAUGCUGUCAAUACCGAUAUGACACAAGACCGAUCAUGAGCUGUCUGAGUUAUUUUAAAUUCAGUAUAGUACUGGAAUAGAAGUCCUGCUAGGACUGUUAAAUUUCUGUGCAGAUAUACCUUUAAAAAGUCUUUAAAAAAAAUCUGUGAAGAAAAUACAUAUUUAUUUUGUUCUUGCUACCCAAGUUAAUUUGGGUUUUAUUGGAGCAUUUUAGUGUUCCAUUAUUAUUAAAAUGAUAUUUCAAAGACUCACAAAAGGGAGGAAAUACUGGAUCUUUUUUGUUUUUACACUUAAAUAAUAAAACAUUUCUGAUAUUUAUUAUUGGCAUGAAUUAUUUUUUAUUAAAAUAUCAACCAGUGUUCAAAAGCCAAAUGCUGUCAGCAUGACUAGUCAUCACAGUGUCUGACAGCCGACCAUCGACUGCUCACCAACAUGGCUUUUCACUUUGAAAAGAGUGGGAAGGUGCUCUUAUGUAAUUGCACAUAUGGGAGCUGAUUAUUAAUUGAUUGAUUUUUUUUUCUCCGUUUCACCUCUAUGUCACCGUAAUACAUGCUGAAGGUGCAUGUCAUGACUUUUUAUCAUACAUGCCGACUUCUAUGUGACUCAGUCUGUCCUCCCUUUGAAUGAUUUAUGCAGCACAACUAACUUGUGCUUCUGGUUUGGGAAUACAAGACACUUUAAUGUCCUGUCUUAAAACCUUCUGUGCUUUUA